rnacentral:rRNA from 1 species
CCCCUAGACGUUCUGGGCUGCACGCGCGCUACAAUAAUACGCACAGCGAGUAUCACCGAGCUCGAAAGGGCAAGGUAAACAAUAGAAAAGGUACUGUAAUGGUUAUAGAUCCUUGUAAUUAUUGACCUUCAACGAGGAAUUCCUAGUAAGUAUGUGUCAUCAUCACGCACUGAUUACGUCCCUGCCCUUUGUACACACCGCCCGUCGCUCCUACCGAUUGGGUGAGCCGAUGAAACUCUCGGAUGUAGGCUAUUCAUAGCCCGCAGAAGAGAUUUGAAUCGUAGCGCUUAGAGGAAGGAGAAGUCGUAACA